AUUGAACGCUGGCGGCAGGCUUAACACAUGCAAGUCGAGCGGGGGAGGUUGCUUCGGUAACUGACCUAGCGGCGGACGGGUGAGUAAUGCUUAGGAAUCUGCCUAUUAGUGGGGGACAACAUUCCGAAAGGGAUGCUAAUACCGCAUACGCCCUACGGGGGAAAGCAGGGGAUCUUCGGACCUUGCGCUAAUAGAUGAGCCUAAGUCGGAUUAGCUAGUUGGUGGGGUAAAGGCCUACCAAGGCGACGAUCUGUAGCGGGUCUGAGAGGAUGAUCCGCCACACUGGGACUGAGACACGGCCCAGACUCCUACGGGAGUCAGCAGUGGGGAAUAUUGGACAAUGGGCGGAAGCCUGAUCCAGCCAUGCCGCGUGUGUGAAGAAGGCCUUCGGGUUGUAAAGCUCUUUUGUCCGGAAAGAAAAGCAUCCAGUUAAUACCUGGGUGUCCUGACGGUACCGGAAGGAUAAGCACCGGCUAACUUCGUGCCAGCCGCCGCGGUAAUAC
rnacentral:rRNA from 1 species